GGGGAUAUAGCUCAGUUGGUAGAGUGUUUGCCUCACAUGUACAAGGCCCUGGGUUCAAUCCCAGCACCACUC
rnacentral:tRNA from 1 species